GAGGGUAUAGCUCAAAUGGUAGAAUGCAUGCUUAACAUGCACAAGGUCCUGGGUUCAAUCCCCAGUACCUCCU
rnacentral:tRNA from 1 species